AGCGAACGCUGGCGGCAGGCCUAACACAUGCAAGUCGAACGGAUCCUUCGGGAUUAGUGGCGGACGGGUGAGUAACACGUGGGAACGUGCCCUUUGGUUCGGAACAACUCAGGGAAACUUGAGCUAAUACCGGAUGUGCCCUUCGGGGGAAAGAUUUAUCGCCAUUGGAGCGGCCCGCGUCUGAUUAGCUAGUUGGCGAGGUAAAGGCUCACCAAGGCGACGAUCAGUAGCUGGUCUGAGAGGAUGAUCAGCCACAUUGGGACUGAGACACGGACCAAACUCCUACGGGAGGCAGCAGUGGGGAAUCUUGCGCAAUGGGCGAAAGCCUGACGCAGCCAUGCCGCGUGAAUGAUGAAGGUCUUAGGAUUGUAAAAUUCUUUCACCGGGGACGAUAAUGACGGUACCCGGAGAAGAAGCCCCGGCUAACUUCGUGCCAGCCGCCGCAGUAAGAC
rnacentral:rRNA from 1 species